CCCUUAGAUGUUCUGGGCUGCACGCGCGCUACACUGAAGCUAUCAACACGUUUUCCCUCCCUGAGAAGGGCGGGUAACCUUUUGAAUCAGCUUCGUGGUAGGGAUCGGGGCUUGCAAUUGUUCCCCGUGACCCAGGAAUUCCUAGUAGACGCGAGUCAUAAGCUCGCAUCGAUUAAGUCCCUGCCCUUUGUACACACCGCCCGUCGCUACUACCGAUUGAACGUUUUAGUGAGGCAUUUGGACCGACGCAUCUCAGUUUAACCGCUGGUUUGUGUUGGAAAGACUUCCAAACUUGAGCGUUUAGAGGAAGUAAAAGUCGUAACA
rnacentral:rRNA from 1 species